CUGAGAGGAUGACCAGCCACACUGGAACUGAGACACGGUCCAGACUCUUACGGGAGGCAGCAGUGGGGAAUAUUGCACAAUGGGCGCAAGCCUGAUGCAGCCAUGCCGCGUGUAUGAAGAAGGCCUUCGGGUUGUAAAGUACUUUCAGCGGGGAGGAAGGUGAUUGUGGAUAAUAACCGCAGCAAUUGACGUUACCCGCAGAAGAAGCACCGGCUAACUCCGUGCCAGCAGCCGCGGUAAUACGGAGGGUGCAAGCGUUAAUCGGAAUUACUGGGCGUAAAGCGCACGCAGGCGGUUUGUCAAGUCGGAUGUGAAAUCCCCGGGCUCAACCUGGGAACUGCAUUCGAAACUGGCAGGCUAGAGUCUGUAGAGGGGGGUAGAAUUCCAGGUGUAGCGGUGAAAUGCGUAGAGAUCUGGAGGAAUACCGGUGGCG
rnacentral:rRNA from 1 species